CUGAAAUUGUGCACGAGCAGCCUUUUUGUUAUGUGUCCUGGCUUGUAAACUUUUAUGAACUUUUCCAUAGAAUUCAGCAGUAAGAUUAGGUUUUGCUCCUCCGAAUGGACUAGCAGAUUGAGGCUUCAGUCCCGAGUAAACCUUGGUCGUAAAGCUGAGAGGAGGCUGAGAAACUUUAAUUUGGGGUUGAAGACAGGGAGUAGAAGAGAG
rnacentral:misc_RNA from 1 species